rnacentral:rRNA from 1 species
AGAGUUUGAUCAUGGCUCAGAUUGAACGCUGGCGGCAGGCCUAACACAUGCAAGUCGAACGGUAGCACAGAGAGCUUGCUCUCGGGUGACGAGUGGCGGACGGGUGAGUAAUGUCUGGGAAACUGCCUGAUGGAGGGGGAUAACUACUGGAAACGGUGGCUAAUACCGCAUAACGUCGCAAGACCAAAGAGGGGGACCUUCGGGCCUCUUGCCAUCAGAUGUGCCCAGAUGGGAUUAGCUAGUUGGUGAGGUAACGGCUCACCAAGGCGACGAUCCCUAGCUGGUCUGAGAGGAUGACCAGCCACACUGGAACUGAGACACGGUCCAGACUCCUACGGGAGGCAGCAGUGGGGAAUAUUGCACAAUGGGCGCAAGCCUGAUGCAGCCAUGCCGCGUGUAUGAAGAAGGCCUUCGGGUUGUAAAGUACUUUCAGCGGGGAGGAAGGUGUUGUGGUUAAUAACCACAGCAAUUGACGUUACCCGCAGAAGAAGCACCGGCUAACUCCGUGCCAGCAGCCGCGGUAAUACGGAGGGUGCAAGCGUUAAUCGGAAUUACUGGGCGUAAAGCGCACGCAGGCGGUCUGUCAAGUCGGAUGUGAAAUCCCCGGGCUCAACCUGGGAACUGCAUUCGAAACUGGCAGGCUUGAGUCUUGUAGAGGGGGGUAGAAUUCCAGGUGUAGCGGUGAAAUGCGUAGAGAUCUGGAGGAAUACCGGUGGCGAAGGCGGCCCCCUGGACAAAGACUGACGCUCAGGUGCGAAAGCGUGGGGAGCAAACAGGAUUAGAUACCCUGGUAGUCCACGCCGUAAACGAUGUCUACUUGGAGGUUGUGCCCUUGAGGCGUGGCUUCCGGAGCUAACGCGUUAAGUAGACCGCCUGGGGAGUACGGCCGCAAGGUUAAAACUCAAAUGAAUUGACGGGGGCCCGCACAAGCGGUGGAGCAUGUGGUUUAAUUCGAUGCAACGCGAAGAACCUUACCUGGUCUUGACAUCCACGGAAGUUUUCAGAGAUGAGAAUGUGCCUUCGGGAACCGUGAGACAGGUGCUGCAUGGCUGUCGUCAGCUCGUGUUGUGAAAUGUUGGGUUAAGUCCCGCAACGAGCGCAACCCUUAUCCUUUGUUGCCAGCGGUUAGGCCGGGAACUCAAAGGAGACUGCCAGUGAUAAACUGGAGGAAGGUGGGGAUGACGUCAAGUCAUCAUGGCCCUUACGACCAGGGCUACACACGUGCUACAAUGGCGCAUACAAAGAGAAGCGACCUCGCGAGAGCAAGCGGACCUCAUAAAGUGCGUCGUAGUCCGGAUUGGAGUCUGCAACUCGACUCCAUGAAGUCGGAAUCGCUAGUAAUCGUGGAUCAGAAUGCCACGGUGAAUACGUUCCCGGGCCUUGUACACACCGCCCGUCACACCCAUGGGAGUGGGUUGCAAAAGAAGUAGGUAGCUUAACCUUCGGGAGGGCGCUUACCACUUUGUGAUUCAUGACUGGGGUGAAGUCGUAACAAGGUAACCGUAGGGGAACCUGCGGUUGGAUCACCU